AGCCGGAUAGUAUAGUGGUUAUAUAUACCGACUAAAGUUCGGGAAGUGUACGUAGGUUCGAGUCCUACUCUAGCUA
rnacentral:tRNA from 1 species